rnacentral:rRNA from 1 species
UACGGAGGGUGCGAGCGUUAAUCGGAAUUACUGGGCGUAAAGGGUGCGUAGGUGGUUAAAUAAGUUAGAUGUAAAAACCCUGGGCUUAACCUAGGACUGAGAUUUAAUACUGUUUAACUAGAGUAUAGGAGAGGGUAGUGGAAUUUCCGGUGUAGCGGUGAAAUGCGUAGAGAUCGGAAGGAACACCAGUGGCGAAGGCGGCUCACUGGACCGGUAUUGACGCUGAGGUGCGAAAGCGUGGGGAGCAAACAGG